GACGAACGCUGGCGGCGUGCUUAACACAUGCAAGUCGAACGGAAAGGCCCUGCUUUUGUGGGUUGCUCGAUUGGCGAACGGGUGAGUAACACGUGAGUAACCUGCCCUUGACUUUGGGAUAACUUCAGGAAACUGGGGCUAAUACCGGAUAUGAGCUCCUGCUGCAUGGUGGGGGUUGGAAAGUUUCGGCGGUUGGGGAUGGACUCGCGGCUUAUCAGCUUGUUGGUGGGGUAGUGGCUUACCAAGGCUUUGACGGGUAGCCUGCCUGAGAGGGUGACCGGCCACAUGGGGACUGAGGUACGGACCAGACUCCUACGGGAGGCAGCAGUGGGGAAUAUUGCACAAUGGGCGGAAGCCUGAUGCAGCAACGCCGCGUGCGGGAUGACGGCCUUCGGGUUGUAAACCGAUUUCGCCUGUGACGAAGCGUGAGUGACGGUAAUGGGUAAAGAAGCAACGGCUAACUACGUG
rnacentral:rRNA from 1 species